AACAGACAUUCCUGAUUCUGCAGUCGAUUGUGAGGUCAGAGCCUGAGCAGGGUCUUCCCCUGCCAACUCUGGGCCCCGGGGGAAACUCCCUUUCCCUGGCCUGUGGCCCCACCUGCCACGUUGCCCAGCUCUUGGCCCACCCUUUAAUUUACCCCCACCAAGGGGGGGGAGGCAGCUGGAUCUAGGCUCCCCUUAGAGUUCCCCCAAACACCCCCAGCCUUGCAGGAAGUAAGGGGCCUCAACUGUGGUCCAGUUUCUGGUGCCUCCUUAAAACUCACCUGUCCGCCCAGGUGUUGGCUGGCUGGAGGUUCUCCAUGGGCUCCUUGUGGAUUGUCGGUUCCAGCAGUUUGAAUGUUCUUGCCUUUUGAUUUUAGUGUGGAGGCUGAACUGCCUUAUGGAGCCACCUUCUCUCUGCUUGGGUGCGCACCCCCACUCACCACCUCUGGGUAUCUUUCACAAAACACGUUUGUGCUCCCACGUUUGUGUAUUUGAUUACUUAUUUCCAUGUAAUAUUCCACCUUUCCUCUGGGAAACUCAAGGAGGUGCUCUCCCCCUCUGCAAAUUAUCUUCACACCCUGUGAGGUAGGCUAGGCCGAAAGCCUGAGACCAGGCCCCAGGUCGCCCAGGGAGCUUUGUGGCCGAGUGGGAAUUUGAACCCUGGGCUCUCAGGGAUGGAAUUCUAAUUUUUAACUACCCUGGUUUUUCCAUUUCCGUUUUCUUCCUGUAUUUCAGUGCCCAUCUGGUCCAGCCUUGUGUUUUUGCAGAUGCCUCUUAUGCGAAGCCCACAAGCAGAGCUGUCCCCACUUCCAAUGGGUCCCAGCAGCUUGUGUUGGGGGGAAUUUACUGCCUCCCUGUACUGGACACAGCAGCACACAGCUAUGGGGGGAACAGCAGCCCCCAAGGGCCUUGUGCACCUCCGUGAAUUCAUCUAAAC